ACCACGUACAGUGCAGCAGCGCUUACCUCCGCCCCAUGAAUA
rnacentral:sRNA from 1 species